GACUAUCAGUCUUGCAAUUGGAUUGAGAACAAUGUACAACUCUUAUCGAUAAGCCAUUGGAGGGCAAGUCUGGUGCCAGCAGCCGCGGUAAUUCCAGCUCCAAUAGCGUAUAUUAACGUUGUUGCAGUUAAAAAGCUCGUAGUUGAAGUGUGGGUGAUCGCUGUUGUGAGACUUCGGUCUCUCGACAGUAAGUCACCCCCUUCCAGUAUCCAGUAGUGGGUAUUCAGUUACUUACUACUGUGUGUUGGUCGUUUACUGUGAGAAAAUUAGAGUGUUCAAAGCAGGCGUUUGCUUGAAUAGAUUAGCAUGGAAUAAUAAUUGAAGGCUUUCGUGUUCGAUUUGAUUGGUUUGUUCAUGGAAGCAAGGUUAAAAGGAACAGUUGGGGGUAUUCAUAUUCACUAGUUAGAGGUGAAAUUCUCGGAUUUAUGGAA
rnacentral:rRNA from 1 species